CUAAUAGUUAGCUAGUUUACAAAAGAACUAAAAGCUACAUUGGUUUUAUAUGUUAAUGGUUUUCUGAAACAGUAUGUGAAAGGCUCCUGAAGGAUCAGAGAGACAAGGACUUUCUACUGGAGCAGAAUAGUCUUAUCAGAAAACGGCUAAACAAUAGUGGGGUCGAUCUACAGUGAAUCAGCCAAUCACCAACAAAAGGUAAAACUUAGAGUCAGAGAUGGGAAUCGAUCACUAUCAUGAUCGAGAAUCGUGAGCUUUUCUGAUAUGCAUGGAAUAAUAUGAAAGCAGUGAGACUCAUCCUAACUGAUGCACAUUCUUGAUUCGCAGAGGUAAAUGUGGAAGAAAUGAAAAUAAAACUUUGAAAAUGCAAUUGGUAAAUGUAUAAUUGUAUAUGACAUGAAAAAGAAGAACUCACUUGGUUGGAGCUGAAAUGAGAGUGUUGAUGGUUCUGGGAAAGCUUGAUCUCUGCGUGUAGUAAUGGAAGAACCGAGAAAGAAGAAGAAGAGAAAGAAGAAAGUGGAUAUGAUGUGUGAUCUGAUCUGAAAGAGCUUUAAGUCUUCUCUUGUGCUGAUUGUUAAUAACGUGGCAUUGUUCUGCAGCAAAAGCAGAAUCAGCACUCAACUCUCUCUCUCUCUAUCAUCAGGUUGGCUUGGGCUUCAGGCUUGGUGUGAAAUCUCUAUGAUGCGGUGGCUACGUGGGCGGAAUCGGGACCUCGAUUUGCUGCUGGAUCGACGACUUUUCAGGAAUGUUUACCUUUCUGCGGCGGGGUGGAUUGCUGGAGUUUGGAUCGGGGCGUGUCGUGGUGAUGCUGGCCUGCUGGGUGUGGCAGCGUGGUGCCGGGUGAUUUGGGCUGUGGUGAUUGAAUCGUGGCGGCGGGAUCAUGGCGGAGCAGGUGCAGCAUGGUCGGCGGAGCGAGGCUGGAACUGUUCGUUGGCUAGGCGUGUGUGGAGAUGAAGGUUGGGCCUGGACCCGGUCAGGCCUGCUGGGCUCCUCUUUGGAUCUGCGUUGAACUGAAUCAGUUGGUCUAGGCUUUUUUGCCCUAGGUCCAUCCCUAUGUUAAUUAGUUUGUCUAAUUACAAUAAUUUCCUUUGUU